rnacentral:rRNA from 1 species
UACAGGGGGUGCAAACGUUUGUUCGGAAUCAUUGGGCGUAAAGCGCACGUAGGCGGUUCGUUAUGUCGGAUGUGAAAGCCCUUGGCUUAACCGAGGAAGUGCAUCCGAAACUGGCGAGCUAGAGUACGAAAGAGGAUCGCGGAAUUCCCGGUGUAGAGGUGAAAUUCGUAGAUAUCGGGAGGAACACCGAUGGCGAAGGCGGGUCUCUGGGCCGUAACUGACGCUGAGGAGCGAAAGCGUGGGGAGCGAACAGG